ensembl:snRNA U1 U1 spliceosomal RNA
AUGCUUACCUGGCAGGGGAGAUAUAACAGGAUCCUGAAGGCAGUUCUCCCAGGGUGAGGCUUAUCCAUUGCAUGCCAGAUGUGUUGAUCCUUGCAAUUUCCCCAAACGUGGGAAACUCACUGCAUCAUUUGUGGUAGUGGGGGACUGUGUCUGUGCUCUCUCUUG